UGCCACUCUUAACGGGGUGGCUUUUCAGAAGUGUAAAAAGCUUCUGGAAUAAGGGCUGGGCAAGACCGGUGCCAGCCGCCGCGGUAACACCGGCAGCUCAAGUGGUAGCCGCUUUUAUUGGGCCUAAAGCGUCCGUAGCCGGUCUGAUAAGUCUCUGGUGAAAUCCCACAGCUUAACUGUGGGAAUUGCUGGAGAUACUAUCAUGACUCGAGGUCGGGAGAGGCUGGAGGUACUCCCAGGGUAGGGGUGAAAUCCUGUAAUCCUGGGAGGACCACCUGUGGCGAAGGCGUCCAGCUGGAACGAACCUGACGGUGAGGGACGAAAGCCAGGGGCGCGAACCGGAUUAGAUACCCGGGUAGUCCUGGCCGUAAACGAUGUGGACUUGGUGUUGGGAUGGCUUCGAGCUGCCCCAGUGCCGAAAGGGAAGCUGUUAAGUCCACCGCCUGGGAAGUACGGCCGCA
rnacentral:rRNA from 1 species